rnacentral:rRNA from 1 species
UACGUAGGUGGCGAGCGUUGUCCGGAUUUACUGGGCGUAAAGAGCGCGCAGGCGGUCGUACAAGUCGCGUGUGAAAGCCCCUGGCUCAACUGGGGAGGGUCACGCGAUACUGUUCGACUCGAAGGCAGGAGAGGGAAGUGGAAUUCCCGGUGUAGUGGUGAAAUGCGUAGAUAUCGGGAGGAACACCAGUGGCGAAGGCGACUUCCUGGCCUGUUCUUGACGCUGAGGCGCGAAAGCUAGGGUAGCAAACAGG